GAAUCUAAUGUAUGGAUUUAGUUAAUAAAAAUGUAUCAGUAUCCAGAGAAGAUUAGCAUGGCCCCUGCACAAGGAUGACAUGCAAAUUCAUGAAGUAUUAUAUAUAUAU
ensembl:snRNA U6 U6 spliceosomal RNA